rnacentral:rRNA from 1 species
GACGAACGCUGGCGGCGUGCUUAACACAUGCAAGUCGAACGGAAAGGCCCUGCUUUUGUGGGGUGCUCGAGUGGCGAACGGGUGAGUAACACGUGAGUAACCUGCCCCUGACUUUGGGAUAACUUCAGGAAACUGGGGCUAAUACCGGAUAGGAGCUCCUGCUGCAUGGUGGGGGUUGGAAAGUUUCGGCGGUUGGGGAUGGACUCGCGGCUUAUCAGCUUGUUGGUGGGGUAGUGGCUUACCAAGGCUUUGACGGGUAGCCGGCCUGAGAGGGUGACCGGCCACAUUAGGACUGAGAUACGGCCCAGACUCCUACGGGAGGCAGCAGUGGAGAAUAUUACACAAUGGGCGGAAGCCUGAUGCAGCAACGCCGCGUGCGGGAUGACGGCCUUCGGGUUGUAAACCGCUUUCGCCUGUGACGAAGCGUGAGUGACGGUAAUGGGUAAAGAAGCACCGGCUAACUACGUG